CGGACGGGUGAGGAAUGCAUCGGAAUCUGCCUUUUUGUGGGGGAUAACGUAGGGAAACUUACGCUAAUACCGCAUACGUCCUACGGGAGAAAGUGGGGGACCGCAAGGCCUCACGCAGAAAGAUGAGCCGAUGCCGGAUUAGCUAGUUGGCGGGGUAAAGGCCCACCAAGGCGACGAUCCGUAGCUGGUCUGAGAGGAUGAUCAGCCACACUGGAACUGAGACACGGUCCAG
rnacentral:rRNA from 1 species